rnacentral:tRNA from 2 species
CCCUGGUUAGCUCAGUUGGUAGAGCGCUCCACUUGUAAUGGAGAGGUCCCGGGUUUCACACCCGGACCAGGCG